UUUUUGUAAUUAUAAAUUAUUAUACUUGUGUAAUUUAAGUAAUAUGUUAAAUGUGUGUUUUUAGUAGUUUUUAAUGAAUUUUAUUUGAGAAUUAUAGUUUAUUAGUACGGUGUUGGAUUGUUUGAAGGAUUUUUGUUUUAUUGUGAAGGAAUAUAAUUGUACCUUUUGUAUCAGGGUUAAUUGAGUUUUUUUAAUUUAUUUUGAGUUCCCGAAUCAAUAAGAUUUAUUUAAUUGUGUUAGUUGACGUUUUAUAGUUAUUAAUAAUAAUUAAAUGGUAAUGAAAUGUUAUUCGAUUUUUGAGAUAUCUGGUUUCCUUAGAAUUAAAUUUAAUUUAUAUAUUAAUUAUAUUUGGUUUUUUUGUGUUGGUGAGUUGAGUUAAUAUAAAGUGUCUUGGGGAUAAGCUUGGGAUAUAUAGUUAUAUGUUAUAUAUAUAAAAAAAUGUUAUGUGGGCUUUAAAUUAGCUAUUAUAUUGGAGUGUGUUAUAAUUAUUGAUUUAGUAAUUUGUAUUUAGUUGUUAAUGUUUUAUAGGGAUGCAUAAAUUAUUAAUAUUGUUUAUAGUAAUAAUGAUUGAAUUAGUAAAUGUUUAUUUAUAUUUGGUUAUAUUUAUAUAAUUAGUAAGAAGGAAUUAGGCAAAUUGUAUUGUUCGCCUGUUUAUCAAAAACAUGUCUUUUUGUAUAGAUAUAAAGUCGGGCCUGCCCACUGAAAUAUGAAGGGCCGCGGUAUUUUGACCGUGCAAAGGUAGCAUAAUCAUUAGUCUUUUAAUUGAGGGCUGGAAUGAAUGGUUUGAUGAAAUAAUAACUGUCUCUUUAUUAUUAAUUUGAAUUUUACUUUUGAGUUAAAAGGCUCAAAUGUUAUUAAGGGACGAGAAGACCCUAUAGAUCUUGAUAAUUAUUAUUAUGGAGUAAUUUUUAGUUGUUUUGUUAUUUUAUGAAUAAUAAUUAUUUUAUUGGGGUGAUAUGAGAAUAUUUUAACUUCUUAAUAAUUAACUUUGAUUGAUGGAUAUAUAAUCCUGUAUUAUGGAAUUAAGAUUAAGAUACCUUAGGGAUAACAGCGUAAUUUUGUUGGAGAGUUCUUAUCGAUAAUGAAGAUUGCGACCUCGAGUUGGGAUUAAGGAUAUAUGUUGGUGUAGUCGCUAAUAAUAUGGUCUGUUCGACCAUUAAAUUCUUACAUGAUCUGAGUUCAAACCGGUGUGAGCCAGGUUGGUUUCUAUCUUUAUUUAUAUAAAUAUAUUGUAGUACGAAAGGACCUAAUAUAUUAAAUAAUUUGUUUUAUUUGAAUGAUUUU
rnacentral:rRNA from 1 species